ACCGUAGUUUGUCUGAAUAUUUGAUUCUGAUUGGCUAAAAGGUGUGCAUUAAAAUAAUUUGAUUCACUGGUAGAUCCACUCAGUGUAAUUACAAUUAAAGUUAAAUGUGCUGCUGCAAUCACAUACAUGCAAACAAAAUACUUGCACACGAGAUCGGAGAUUAAAAUAAUGUGAACUGUGACAUUUUGCAUUUAUUUUUUUUAAAUAAUUUUUUUAAAACCUCAGUCGCAUUGCUUCACUGCCACUCAUAAAUCCUCUCCUGUGUUCUCAUGGAGUAGUCAAGUGUCCAUUGUGAGCAUACUUCAGAAUCUCAGCAGAAGUACUUUGAUUUUGGAUGCUGCUCUGCUCACAUACUAAUUAAUGAUUAAUGUUUGAAAGUGAAGUGUAAAAUAAAUUAUAUAAAUAUUUUAUUUGACUGGGUAAUUACAGUAAUAUUUCAGUCUUCAUAUAUUAAUAAUUGAAUUAAAAAAAUAAGCAAAAUAAUAAUGUUAUUAUUUAGAUGUUGUUAUUUGUUCAAAUUUACAUGGUUUCCAAAAACACUGUGAAUGGAAACCUAGACAACCAUCACAUCUAAGAUAUAAUGUGUACCAAUAACCGGUUUUGUUUUGUUGUUUUUGUGUAAACAGAUAUUGCAGAUCUGGAGAAAAAUGCAGCACUGCUAAUCUUACCAUGUUUAUUCACAGAAAACAUCAAGUUUCUCUUCUGUCUGGACAAUCAUAUUCACACAGCGCUGUCUCGCGAGUGCAGUGGAAGGUUUUGAAUUCCAACGGUCGAGAAGAGAUUGAUCCCCGUCUGCUGAUUUAAAUUGAUGGUCUGACAGAAAUAUUGUUGUGCGGAUUUACACUAAAACACGAAAGAGCCUGAACCGCGACAGUGUCACAAGUUGCCUUACAUCCAUAAGUUUUGUUGUGCUUGUUGCAAACUGUUAAAUUAAGUGUUUUCCGAUCCUAAGCUUAGAAAAAAAGAUGCAAGACUUCAAACUUUCCAGUACUCCUGUGUACUGAUAAUCCGGGUUCCACCCAGUCCCAGGAGAUUAUAUUAAACCUGGAAAAUAUUGGAGAAGAUCAAUUAAGUUUUCAGGAGCACAUUACUGUGAUAAAUGCUGAGCUAUGUAAAAGUCAACCUGCUACACCAACAUAUCAAAAAUCGAAUGAGAUGCACUCUUUUUAAAAGGGUUGAUUUAAUGACAAAAUCAACAUGAGAGGUCAUGGACAUGUUCCCAUUUCUUCGGGUUCCACAAAUUCUGCUGCAUGAAGUGAAGAUGCGGUUUGGGAAGGACCUUCAUCUCAAUCUACAGACUGCUCUUCAAUUAAAUUAAAUUAAAUUAAAUACAUGCAUUUAGCAGACGCGACUUACUGUGCAUUCAGGCUAUCAAUUUUUUAC